GCGUUAUCCGGAUUCAUUGGGUUUAAAGGGUGCGUAGGCGGAAUGGUAAGUCAGUGGUGAAAGCCCUUCGCUUAACGAAGGAACUGCCUCUGAUACUGCCAAUCUUGGGUACAUUUGAUGUGGGCGGAAUGUGUCAUGUAGCGGUGAAAUGCUUAGAUAUGACACAGAACACCGAUUGCGAAGGCAGCUCACAAAACUGUAACUGACGCUGAGGCACGAAAGCGUG
rnacentral:rRNA from 1 species